AGUUCAAUAAUUAGAAUAUAUUAAUUCGAUGUAAAUUAUUAUUAUUUAUUCUCACAAAAUUCCAGUCUCUAUGCAUCGUUCUUCUCACAAGCUUUCAUGUGAAGAGCUUGCGUAUUGCUUUCCCUUAAUCUUUCAUCAAUCAAAUUACAGAAGCAGGAAUAUCUCUAGCGUUGGUUUGCUAGUUGGUAAUUUGAAGGAUCAGAGAACAUAUUCCAGCCAGAGUCUAUUUGAGCCAGUUAGUGAAAGGCUCAUCACCAGUGGUCAAUUUCUCAAACCUCCUUCACGAAGAAGUUCAAGUGAAUCUAGUUGUUAUAAGAAAUUUGCAAUUGCUGAAACUCAUCCUAUUAUCCAGUCUAGUAGUCUUCAGCAUUGGUUCAAAAAUUGGCAAGAACAGAGAAAGCAGAAAUUGACAGCUAGCACAUUUUCUGCGGCAGUUGGGUUUUGGCCUAUUCGAAGGACCCAGCUCUGGCUAGAGAAAAUUGGGGCGAUUGAGCCAUUUUUUGGUAACUUAGCUACAUGUUGGAGCAAUAUCAAAGAAGAGGUAGCACUUGAAAGAUAUAAACUGAUUACUGGGAAUACAGUUGAUUUUCCUGAAUUUCAGGUUUAUGGUAAGAUGAAUCCAGAAGAUAGUUGGUUAGCAGCUUCACCUGAUGGUUUAGUGGACCAAUUUGUUUAUGGGUUGUCUCUUAGAGGAGUAUUGGAGAUAAAAUGUCCAUUUUUCGGUGGAGAUAUGAGUAAGGCUUUCCCUUGGAGGCGGAUUCCUCUCUAUUGCAUUCCACAAGCUCAGGGCUUAAUGGAAAUCAUGGACCGGGAUUGGAUGGACUUCUAUGUUUGGACUCCAAAAGGAAGUAGUCUGUUUAGGAUAUACCGAGAUGUAGAGUACUGGGCUGCUCUCAAAUUAGCGCUCUCUGAUUUUUGGUGGAAGCAUGUUCAGCCAGCCAAAGAAAUAUGUGGUAAAUACGUGAUAACAGAUCCUCUUAGAGAAUUGAAGUUAGUAAGGCCAGCCUCCAGGCAUGAAUUAUGUGGCUAUAUAGUUUGUGAAAGUAAACGUAUUGGUGAUAACUCUAAUUUGUUGAUGCGUGAAAUAAAUGGAAAAUUGACAGACUGAUUUGCUUGCUGAGAUAUUGAAUUUUGAACCAAGUCUAAUUGAUUAAUAGCAAUGCCUUAUUGAGCUUUUUAAUAAUUAUUGAAAAUUCUGGUUACUAUGAAUUCUUUCCUCUAAAAUCGAGGUUGGAGGUUUUUGUUCAUAAUGGUUGCCAACCUGGAUAUACGGAGCUACUAUUAGGGGCACUUCUCCCUUUAGUUGGGCAAGUUUGAAUGCAUAUAGUUGUUGAAAGAGUUCAUAGGAACCUCAGCUGAGAAGUGAAUAUUGAGAAAUGAAGAAGACUACAUUGCCAAAUAGGGUGUUUAGAUGUUUGGAAUCCAUCACGCCCUUGCAAUGCUUCAAAUGGUUUGGGAUGGAAAAGUUAAGGUAGCUCUUUGUUCGCAUAUCACGGUCUGGCUUUCCCACAAGAAUGUCUCACCAGAAGUUUGCCAGAAGGUAUGGUUUUCUUCUACUGGAGAGUGUUGCCUCGCAAGAUCCACUUAGUGUUUCAGUUGCAAUUCUUCAUCAGUUCAACAUUUUGCCUGAGAUGUAUCAAGUUGGCUACACAAAUUUGUUUUUCCGUACCGAUCAGAUCGGGGCUCUUGAGGAUACGAGAAAUCGUACUCUUCAUGGUAUUUUACGUGUUCAAAGCUGCUUCAGAGGACAUCAAGCUCGCAACCACUUAAAGGAGGUCCAAAGGGGAAUUGCUACCCUUCAGUCAUUUAUCAGAGGAGAGAAAACCAGGAAAGAACAUGCCGUCUUAUUGCAGAGACAUAGAGCCGCUAUCGCUAUACAAAAUAUUAAAGGCAGGAAUUCUAGGAAAACAUUCAAGAAAAUUAGUGAUGCAUCAGUUGUGAUACAACCAGGUAAGUAUUCAGGCUUUUUCCCCUCGAGUAUAAAUAUUCAAAGCAACGUAAUGCCGCUGUGUUGAAACUUGAGUUCGGAACAAAAGGUAAUGGCUUGCUUCUGGUUGUGCCUUAAGUCGGAACAAUAUUGAGGAUUGAGAUGUUUCUUUAUUUCAAUCACCACUUCAUUUAUGUUAAAGAUAUUGAAAUAUACUGUAAUUUGGCAAAAAAGAAUACGUCAAAAGGCAUUUCUAUUGUAAAUCGGGCGUUUAAGAAGGAUGGUAGGAAAACGUUAUGUAUCAAGUUGACUGCCCUCCAUGAGUGAAUUUAAUAAUUUGGUUUUGGCCUCAAAACUUAGAAAGAUAUAUGAAAAAGCUGGUUUAAGUUGGACAUUUUUUUCCUGCAAAUUUAUAGUGAUACGAAACGUGGAAGAAAGAUUACGCGGCGAGAAACAAAAGUCGUCUUGAAUAAACCCGGGAGCGAAGAAGGUGAAAAAGAAGUGGGGCAGGAUGAACAGCACAAGGUACACAUACAAAACCCCAUACAUUUACUGUUUUAUUCUUGCUAGUCGAUCAAUAAUUGCUUUCUGGUGUUCUCUAUUGCUAGUAAUGAUUUCAUACAGAAAUCGAGAGUUUGUUUUACCAAAGCGAUUUGGUUACUGAAAA